rnacentral:rRNA from 1 species
AUUGAACGCUGGCGGCAGGCCUAACACAUGCAAGUCGAGCGGAGCGGCGGACGGGUGAGUAAUGCCUAGGAAUCUGCAUGGUAGUGGGGGAUAACGUCAGGUAACGGGCGCUAAUACUGCAUACUAUCAGAUGAGCCUAGGUCGGAUUAGCUAGUGGGUGGGGUAAAGGCUCACCCAGGCGACGAUCCGUAACUGGUCUGAGAGGAUGAUCAGUCACACUGGAACUGAGACACGGUCCAGACGCCUACGGGAGGCAGCAGUGGGGAAUAUUGGACAAUGGGCGAAAGCCUGAUCCAGCCAUGCCGCGUGUUUGAAGAAGGUCUUCGGAUUGUAAAGCACUUUAAGUUGGGAGGCGUUACCAACAGAAUAAGCACCGGCUAACUUCGUGCCAGCAGCCGCGGUAAUUC